CGGCAGUGAGGACCGAGCAGAAGAGAAGGGGCAGCUGAGAGCGACUGGAGGAGGUGACGUCACCCAGUGGUUCGCUGUGGCUGGAGGGGUUGCAGCAGAGACAGAGUCCUCUCUGAGACAAGGGACUGCGACGUACACGCAGCGGCAGGGUGAGGAGCCCUGCCAGUGUGUGGACGAGGAGCUGCCUGCCACGCUUCUGGGGACUGGAUGACAGACAAGAUCUCUUCUUUGCCUUUUUAUGGACAAUUUUCUUUUAGUUAUUUGUACAAGAUUUUAUGGGGUUCCCCUCUGACAGCUUUUAUCUUUUGAUCUUUUACUAAUUUUUACUUUUAAGAUUUUUACCUGUUCUGAUUUUAACUUUGGCUUGGUGUGAAUUGCAUGUUCUAUUAAAUCAUAAGUAGAAUAACAA